UGACACGACUCGGCGCCGGUGACCGGCGGGUGGCGUCGCCGACAGCCCCUGUCGCGACGCGUGUGGCGGCUCGCUCCCGCGGGGAGCCAGCCCCGGCGGUCUCGCCGGCGCGGCCGCCGCCGCCGCCGGGUGGUUUUGAGGUCGGGCGGCGCUUCGGGCGCCCGGCGUCGCGCGGGGAGGCCCCCGUCACCGCUGCCGAUGGCGGAAGUGCCUGGCGAGGGAGGCGGCAGCCGUCGCCGAGCGCGGCAGGGGGUGGGCGUCCGCCAUGGCGGGCCGCGGCUCCGGCUCCUCGGAGCACCUGGAGCGGCUGCACGAGAUCUUCCGGGGGCUGCUCGGAGACCUGCGGGGGGUCCCCGAGCGGCUGCGGGGCAGCGCGGCCGAGGAGAAGAAAAAACUAGUUCGAGAAUUUGAUGAAAAACAGCGUGAAGCAAAUGAAACGCUGCGGGAAAUGGAGGAAGAACUGAAGUACGCUCCUCUGCCUUUCCGCAACCAAAUGAUGAGCAAAAUCCGGGCGUACAGAAGAGACCUCUCCAUGUUCCAGAGAGAGAUGAGAAGCACAGAUUUGGGACUGGGCCCUGGAAGUCAAGGCGAUAUAAAAUAUGGCAUCUUCUCCACAGAAAAUGAACAGAGUACUAAUCUGCAGUCACAGAGGGUGCUGCUUCUCCAGGGAACAGACAGCCUGAACCGAGCCAGUCAGAGCAUUGAGCGCUCGCACCGAAUUGCUGCUGAAACCGAUCAGAUUGGCACCGAUAUCAUUGAAGAGCUUGGGGAGCAGCGGGAGCAACUGGAACGCACCAAGAGCAGAUUGGUGAAUACAAGUGAGAACUUGAGCAAGAGUCGCAAGAUUCUCCGUUCCAUGUCCAGGAGAGUAACCACUAAUAAGUUGUUGCUGUCGAUCAUCAUCAUCCUGGAAUUAGCCAUCCUGGGAGGUGUGGUCUACUACAAGUUCUUUCGCAGCAAAUGAAUCUUCGUGACCGAGAUGAGCUUUUCCAGUGUUGAGGAAGCGGAUGGGCUGUCUGUUCCCUUGGGCAGUCUGAGGAUUGAACUGUCUCAUGAGACAGCAUGUUAACUGAAACUGUACUGACACUAGAAAGACAGAAUGGGAGUAAAAGGAAAAUGCAGAGACAGACUUGAACUGCUGAAAGCCAGGGUGAAAGGCUGAAACUUUGAUUUGCAUGGCAUCUAGGAUGGAGGAAGCACCAAGCUUGAGGAUUUCAUAGACAGCUCAUCAAGAUGAGUGGGGCAUUCUGCAUUGUUCAGGUCAAUAGUUGAAGGCUGCCUUCAACCUCUGCCAUGUAAGCCUAGUUGAUGAAAAAAGGAAGGAUAAUCUCAAACCUAAAAUGUCAGUUGGUUACUACAUUAAGUCUGUCAACCGAUAACAGCUUAAUAAAUUGGACGCCUCUUGUCAUUCAGGUGAGCUAUUUAAAUGGUAGACUGCAUACUUCCAACUUACUGCAGAUGCUCAGUAGGAAGCAGCAUCUGGAUUGGCAGCUUCUUUACUUGGCACAGCUGCAGCUAGGAAGAGCAAGCACACUUUUAGAUGCAACAGCAUCCAGUACAGAUACACAGACCUUGUUCCGCUUACAGGAUUUUGUUCUACUCUGUGGUGAGAGGUGACCCUUUCUGACUCUGAUCCUCGCCGUGUGUCCCUAGAGUAGCAUGAUUUGCUCCCUGAUCUGGUUCCCCAAACUUGAGCAAGGUUAGCAAAGACUUCCAUAUUGAAUGUCGCUGAGGGAGUGGUUAAAGUGAACUUCAUUAGCUUAACUGAAACGGGCAGAACAGAACAAAUUAUAUAAAACAGAGCCUCAACUGUAGCGACCAAUGUAACCUAUCUCAUAGCUUUUGGCCAAACACGGGUUCCAGUUCAAGAUGUGGAAGUCAAAUACUAAAGUCAGUGCUACAACUUUUACUAUUUACUGGACGCUGUCCCAGUUUGGUUAGGCUGCUUUACAUCAAGAGUAAUAUUCACUUAAAUAACUUUCAGGAAAGCAGAUAUUCAACAAAUGGAUGAUAAGAGUAGUUUAAAUCAGAUAAUAGUU